rnacentral:rRNA from 1 species
UAACAAGGAUUCCCCUAGUAACGGCGAGUGAAGCGGGAAGAGCUCAAAUUUGAAAUCUGGCGGUCUAAGGCCGUCCGAAUUGUAAUCUGGAGAAGCGUUUUCCGUGUUGGACCGUGUACAAGUCCCUUGGAACAGGGCGUCAUAGAGGGUGAGAAUCCCGUCUUCGACACGGACUACCAAUGCUAUGUGAUGCGCUCUCGAAGAGUCGAGUUGUUUGGGAAUGCAGCUCAAAACGGGUGGUAAAUUCCAUCUAAAGCUAAAUACAGGCGAAAGACCGAUAGCGAACAAGUACCGUGAGGGAAAGAUGAAAAGCACUUUGGAAAGAGAGUUAAACAGUACGUGAAAUUGUUGAAAGGGAAACGAUUGAAGUCAGUCGCGUCUCUCGGGAUUCAACCUUGCUUAAUUGCCUGGCGUAUUUCCCGAGGUGACGGGCCAGCGUCGAUUUCGACCGACGGAGAAAGGCGAGGGGAAUGUGGCACCUCCGGGUGUGUUAUAGCCCCUCGUUGUAUGCGCCGGUGGGGAUCGAGGACCGCAGCACGCCUCUAAUGGCCGGGGUUCGCCCACGUAACGUGCUUAGGAUGCUGGCGUAAUGGCUUUAAACGAC